AAAUUGAAGAGUUUGAUCAUGGCUCAGAUUGAACGCUGGCGGCAGGCCUAACACAUGCAAGUCGAACGGUAACAGGAAACAGCUUGCUGUUUCGCUGACGAGUGGCGGACGGGUGAGUAAUGUCUGGGAAACUGCCUGAUGGAGGGGGAUAACUACUGGAAACGGUAGCUAAUACCGCAUAACGUCGCAAGACCAAAGAGGGGGACCCUCGGGCCUCUUGCCAUCGGAUGUGCCCAGAUGGGAUUAGCUUGUUGGUGGGGUAACGGCU
rnacentral:rRNA from 1 species